AGUGGCAGACGGGUGAGUAAUGUAUAGGAAUCUACCUAGUAGUACGGAAUAAUUGUUGGAAACGGCAACUAAUACCGUAUACGCCCUACGGGGGAAAAAUUUAUUGCUGUUAGAUGAGCCUAUAUUAGAUUAGUUAGUUGGUGAGGUAAAGGCUUACCAAGACAAUGAUCUAUAGCUGAUCUGAGAGGAUGAUCAGCCACACUGGAACUGAGAUACGGUCCAGACUCCUACGGGAGGCAGCAGUGGGGAAUAUUGGACAAUGGGCGAAAGCCUGAUCCAGCUAUGCCGCAUGAGUGAAGAAGGCCUUCGGGUUGUAAAGCUCUUUUAGUGAGGAAGAUAACGACGGUACUCACAGAAGAAGUCCUGGCUAACUCCGUGCCAGCAGCCGCGGUAAUACGGAGAGGGCUAGCGUUAUUCGGAAUUAUUGGGCGUAAAGGGCGCGUAGGCGGGUUAAUAAGUUAAAAGUGAAAUCCCAAGGCUCAACCUUGGAACUGCUUUUAAAACUGCUAGUCUAGAGAUUGAAAGAGGAUAGAGGAAUUCCUAGUGUAGAGGUGAAAUUCGUAAAUAUUANGAGGAACACCAGUGGCGAANGCGUCUAUCUGGNUCAAAUCUGACGCUGANGCGCGAAGGCGUGGGGAGCAAACNGGAUUAGAUACCC
rnacentral:rRNA from 1 species